GGCGUAUUGCAGGCAAGUGCAAUUACUCAAUUCAAUCCGAUUGGGAACGAUUGAAACAAUUAGCAGUUUGGAAAAUUAAUUGCAACUUUACUGACGAAUGUCGUCCGUGGCGACCAUUAUUACAAAAAUGGGCGCCAGUCCUGCAUUGACGAUUGCCAGAAACAAAGACAAGGUUCUGAUGGAAAGUGGACGUCGAUUCCUCUU